rnacentral:lncRNA from 1 species
ACAGGAAGACCCGGCCCUAGCCGUGGGCAGCACGGGUCCCAGAACAACGAGGAGAAGGUGAGCUGAGCCCAGCGUUCAUCUCGCUUUGCAUCAGGAGCCUCUGCUCAAGCUCCUGCCACGGAGCUUUCCCAGCGUGAUGGACUGAAUGCCUAACUCACCAUCCUCCUCUAGGUCCCUAGAAGCACACAGCAUCCCGAGUGAUGCCCACGGCAUCCCGAGUGACUCGGGCAGUCCCAAAGACAGCGUUGACCCACUGAGUCUUUAAGUAUCUGCUCUAUCAAAACAGCCGCUCAUGGACCCUGGACACCUGACAUCCAGCAAGCAUUGGGGACCACUCUGUAAACAGCAUCCUAACUAGUCACCUGACUCAUCCUGUGUUCUGCAAACCUGGGAAUCUGAGGGCGGCAGCAUUCACACAGUGAGAGCCUGGGCUCUGCUCUCAGGAGCUGCAAGUCUCAGGGGCCUUCACCUCAGCUACAUCUGCACUGCCCUCGCUGCAGUGAGUAGACCAGACCCGCCUCUGCCUCACCCACUCAGAUCUCUGCGGGCUACGCCCCAGCUGCUCUCUUCCUUCCCCUCUGUCCCCCCAUCCUCUCUUCACCUUCUGGCAUUUUCCACUCUGACACUGACCUUUGCGUUGACACAGUCAGUCAAUAUGUGAAACCCUUGCUUUUCUCAACCUCAAAUAAAUCCAUAAUUAAUUCAUUAA